rnacentral:rRNA from 1 species
GACGAACGCUGGCGGCGUGCCUAAUACAUGCAAGUUGAGCGAUGAAGAUUGGUGCUUGCACCAAUUUGAAGAGCGGCGAACGGGUGAGUAACGCGUGGGGAAUCUGCCUUUGAGCGGGGGACAACAUUUGGAAACGAAUGCUAAUACCGCAUAACAACUUUAAACAUAAGUUUUAAGUUUGAAAGAUGCAAUUGCAUCACUCAAAGAUGAUCCCGCGUUGUAUUAGCUAGUUGGUGAGGUAAAGGCUCACCAAGGCGAUGAUACAUAGCCGACCUGAGAGGGUGAUCGGCCACAUUGGGACUGAGACACGGCCCAAACUCCUACGGGAGGCAGCAGUAGGGAAUCUUCGGCAAUGGACGAAAGUCUGACCGAGCAACGCCGCGUGAGUGAAGAAGGUUUUCGGAUCGUAAAGCUCUGUUGGUAGAGAAGAACGUUGGUGAGAGUGGAAAGCUCAUCAAGUGACGGUAACUACCCAGAAAGGGACGGCUAACUACGUG